CCAUCGGAUGUGCCCAGAUGGGAUUAGCUAGUAGGUGGGGUAACGGCUCACCUAGGCGACGAUCCCUAGCUGGUCUGAGAGGAUGACCAGCCACACUGGAACUGAGACACGGUCCAGACUCCUACGGGAGGCAGCAGUGGGGAAUAUUGCACAAUGGGCGCAAGCCUGAUGCAGCCAUGCCGCGUGUAUGAAGAAGGCCUUCGGGUUGUAAAGUACUUUCAGCGGGGAGGAAGGGAGUAAAGUUAAUACCUUUGCUCAUUGACGUUACCCGCAGAAGAAGCACCGGCUAACUCCGUGCCAGCAGCCGCGGUAAUACGGAGGGUGCAAGCGUUAAUCGGAAUUACUGGGCGUAAAGCGCACGCAGGCGGUUUGUUAAGUCAGAUGUGAAAUCCCCGGGCUCAACCUGGGAACUGCAUCUGAUACUGGCAAGCUUGAGUCUCGUAGAGGGGGGUAGAAUUCCAGGUGUAGCGGUGAAAUGCGUAGAGAUCUGGAGGAAUACCGGUGGCGAAGGCGGCCCCCUGGACGAAGACUGACGCUCAGGUGCGAAAGCGUGGGGAGCAAACAGGAUU
rnacentral:rRNA from 1 species